UAGCAUAUCAAUAAGCGGAGGAAAAGAAACCAACAGGAUUGCCCCAGUAACGGCGAGUGAAGCGGCAACAGCUCAAAUUGAAAUCUGGCCCCCAGGGUCCGAGUUGUAAUUGCAGAGGAUGAUUUUGGCGAGGUGCCUUCCGAGUUCCCUGGAACGGGACGCCAUAGAGGGUGAGAGCCCCGUCUGGUUGGACGCCGAGCCUAUGUAAAUCUCCUUCGACGAGUCGAGUAGUUUGGGAAUGCUGCUCUAAAUGGGAGGUAUAUGUCUUCUAAAGCUAAAUAUUGGCCAGAGACCGAUAGCGCACAAGUAGAGUGAUCGAAAGAUGAAAAGCACUUUGAAAAGAGGGUUAAAUAGUACGUGAAAUUGUUGAAAGGGAAGCGCUCAUGACCAGACUUGGGCCCGGUGAAUCAUCCAGCGUUCUCGCUGGUGCACUUUGCCGGGCUCAGGCCAGCAUCAGUUUGCCCCGGGGGACAAAGGCUCUGGGAAUGUGGCUCCUCCGGGAGUGUUAUAGCCCACUGCACAAUACCCUGGGGUGGACUGAGGUUCGCGCAUCUGCAAGGAUGCUGGCGUAAUGGUCAUCAGCGACCCGUCUUGAAACACGGACCAAGGAGUCGUCUUCGUAUGCGAGUGUUCGGGUGUGAAACCCCUACGCGUAAUGAAAGUGAACGCAGGUGAGAGCUUCGGCGCAUCAUCGACCGAUCCUGAUGUUCUCGGAUGGAUUUGAGUAAGAGCAUACGGGGCCGGACCCGAAAGAAGGUGAACUAUGCCUGUAUAGGGUGAAGCCAGAGGAAACUCUGGUGGAGGCUCGCAGCGGUUCUGACGUGCAAAUCGAUCGUCAAAUAUGGGCAUGGGGGCGAAAGACUAAUCG
rnacentral:rRNA from 1 species